rnacentral:rRNA from 1 species
GACGAACGCUGGCGGCGUGCCUAAUACAUGCAAGUCGAACGCUUCUUUCCUCCCGAGUGCUUGCACUCAAUUGGAAAGAGGAGUGGCGGACGGGUGAGUAACACGUGGGUAACCUACCCAUCAGAGGGGGAUAACACUUGGAAACAGGUGCUAAUACCGCAUAACAGUUUAUGCCGCAUGGCAUAAGAGUGAAAGGCGCUUUCGGGUGUCGCUGAUGGAUGGACCCGCGGUGCAUUAGCUAGUUGGUGAGGUAACGGCUCACCAAGGCCACGAUGCAUAGCCGACCUGAGAGGGUGAUCGGCCACACUGGGACUGAGACACGGCCCAGACUCCUACGGGAGGCAGCAGUAGGGAAUCUUCGGCAAUGGACGAAAGUCUGACCGAGCAACGCCGCGUGAGUGAAGAAGGUUUUCGGAUCGUAAAACUCUGUUGUUAGAGAAGAACAAGGACGUUAGUAACUGAACGUCCCCUGACGGUAUCUAACCAGAAAGCCACGGCUAACUACGUGCCAGCAGCCGCGGUAAUACGUAGGUGGCAAGCGUUGUCCGGAUUUAUUGGGCGUAAAGCGAGCGCAGGCGGUUUCUUAAGUCUGAUGUGAAAGCCCCCGGCUCAACCGGGGAGGGUCAUUGGGAACUGGGAGACUUGAGUGCAGAAGAGGAGAGUGGAAUUCCAUGUGUAGCGGUGAAAUGCGUAGAUAUAUGGAGGAACACCAGUGGCGAAAGCGGCUCUCUGGUCUGUAACUGACGCUGAGGCUCGAAAGCGUGGGGAGCAAACAGG